AUGUAUGUGUGCAUGUGCAUGUU
rnacentral:piRNA from 1 species